GCAAAAACCAUCUUUGUUUAGUAAUUGAUAUGCUAUGUUGUGUGAUAUUAUAUUAUUAUUGAUAAUUUGUUUUGAUGUUAUGCUACACUGUAUGUAACAAUAUUAUAGUAACGUUACAUGUAUGGAUUAAGUUAAAAAUGAAUGUUUGAAAUACACUGUAUAAUAGCAGAUACCAGGUGUAAUGGCUUUUAAAUUUCUGUAUUAUUUGGUAGCUCGAGUUGAGGGCAUCAAGAACAUACCGAUGGCCCAAACCAGUGUCCGAUUGGACAGACAAGAAUGCUGUUGUAGAUGCCUGACUACUACUGUGUUCUCUAAAGAUGUACUCCUAACCAGAGGUGCACUACACAGCAUUGAAUGGAAAAAGCUUUGCCCAUGUCAGUUUACUCAUAGCAGUACCUAAUUGGGUGUGGUUUGUAUGUGCGUGCAAUUAAAAAUAGAUAUUUUUUUGCUUCAUUAAUCUUGUUAAAAUGAAAUGUAAAUGAAACCCUAACAAGAUCAAUGAAUUGGGAAUAUUCAGAUUUCAAAAUUAUUCAAAUAGAUUAAAUGUGACAAUAUUAUCAGAAAAAUAUGGCUUGAGUUAAAAAUAAAUGUUUGAAUUUAACUUUGCAUAUAGCAGAUACCAGGUGUAAUUGGUAAUUUCAUUUAUUGCAGGUUUUCUGGAAGCUUGAGUUGAGGGCAUCAAGAACAUACCGAUGGUCCAAAUCAGUGUCAGCCUGGACAGACAUCCAUUGCAGUUCUUCUACACCACACUAAUCUCUACUUUUGUAUGGCUGCCUGACUACUAUGCUGUUCCUUGAAGGUAUUACUGGAGCAAAACAACAGCAGUGAAAUUUGUGGUUAUAAAGCAUUGUGAUAUAUGUGUUACAGGUCCAGUACAUUUGUCAUAAAGUUUAAGUCAAAAAAGAAAAAAAGUUAUUUUUAGGAUUUGCAAAAGUGUUUUUGUUUUCCCUUCUCUCUCCAAACCAAAUAUUGGUUUGUGUUCGUUUUAGUUGUUUUGAUGGGAUAUUUGUCUCAUUUGCCAUGAAGGUAUAGCUCCCUCUUUCUCCAUAUACAGCAAUGGUCCCAAGAUCUUCAAAGUCUAACUAAAAACUUUGUCAAAACAUUGCAUUUAUCUUCAGUAGUUCAACUGUAAUCAUACAAAGCUCAAAGAACUCAUUUGUGCAUCAAAAAUACUGUAAAAGCAACUUAUUUGCCUCUGCCACAACAGGUUAGGGUGUGCGCUUGCUACUCGUAGUAAACACAAACCCUGAUCUGAUGCAAGAGAGAUAUAGGCAAACAAAUUAGUAUUUACCGUUUUGUUUUCCCUCACUAAAGUGUUGUUAGAGCUUGGUAUGCUCACAGUUGAACCACUAAAGUCACAAAAUUUUUUGUGCCUUAUCUGGACAUUGACUUAGGGGUGUGAAGGUAACCGCAUAACCGCUAUAAUGAGAAGUCAACCACUAUAAUGUGAUUAUUACCAUCAUCACAGCCCUGUGAUGAUGUGAUGUGAUGAAACUUUCAGGAGUGUAUAGAAAAACAGAAUACAUUAAAUAAAUAGAAUAAAAGGCCUGCCCUAAAUAUUUUUUACUUAAAUUAAAAAUUUAGAUUACAAAACAAAAACUGACUGAAACCUUUUUUAAUAACCGACAUAGGCAAUUUUUUUUGUACUUAGUUUUUUUCCUCGUAAAAUAAAUAUAGCAGGCCUAACUCAAAUCAAUUGCUCCACGGAAAAUAAGCGUUUGUAAUGCUCCGUCAUAAUGCUUAUAUCACCGACCUCUAUCAACAUUUUUAAUAGUUAUUUUAAAAGUUAUUUUAAAGGUUAUGACUAAAGAAUCUGAUUUUACCUCAGUGCUGCACUUUUAUUUUCUCCGUCUCACUCGUUGUGAGUACAGGUGACGUGAGUUCAGUGUUUUGAAUUAGAUAAAUUUUCCUUAGUUUAGUCUGGUGUCAAACUGGCACAGAAAUAUCACCAUAUCAAUAUAGGCUCUGUUAAAAGGCUGGUCAAUUGUAGGUCUUUUUAAAAAAAAAAUUUUACAGAAGCUAUAAACAGACGCUCAUGCGGUACCUGCGGUGAUGAGAGACAACAAAUUGCAUAUAUGUUGACUUAUUUAAUGUAGGCUAUAGCAUAUGAUAAUUUUGUAUAAAUAAGUUUAUACAAAAUGUAGCCAUUAUAUAUCACAGAGGUUUGUGAUGCAACAGUUACAGUGGAGCAUUAAUUAAAUCCUUAUUUUCCUAGGAGCGAAACAAACACUGCACAGUUGUGUAUUUUUGUCGGGAAAAACAUUUUUGGAACAAUUUUCGUUUGGUACAAUUUAAUUUUUAUGUAAUUUUAAUGUAUUUUUUUGUUGGUCAGUUAUCUACAAAAUAAACAAUAUGAACGAAUAACAUUUGAAGUAAAGUGAAGUGUGCCGGGUCUGCUAUUUUUCCGCAGCACAACACAAACUGGUUUGCUAAGUACAAUUACAAUAUAAUAAAAUAAAAAAUAAAAUAAAGUGAAAUUCCGUUUUGAAUAAUACAUUUUUGUUAACUUUUUAAAAAAAAUUAGUUAAUUGUCUAAAAUUUCACUGUUUAUGACAAAAUCGUCCAUUGAUCCGGUCAGUUUCGCUUUCGUUUAAUCAAAUCGCAUUCAAUAUUUUAGACAAAGUAGUUAAAAGAUUGCAUAACUAAUUAUUGAUCUUCGCCAUCCGUGAUCCACUCAUAAACAUUAUGUAGUCUACUUUUUGAUUACCUAACCCACGUGUUAAUGGCAGCACCAGUGGAUAUAUCAGGAUUUAUAGCGGUUUUAUGCAUCCCCAAUUUUCAAUAUCAAGAAAGUGACUCUAUAAGGUAAAGUAAAUGCACACUUGAUUAUUACUUUAAUGUACAAAGUUGUGGAUGCGUGUCUUACAGCACAAAGCAUAACAUAUCCUUUAAAGGAGAAAUAAAGCACUCAGUCAAGUUAAAAUUAUUCUGUACGUUGGAUUCCACUUUAAUGGAAAUAUAACUAACAAACUCAAUAAAUGUAACCAUUUAGCAGAAAACAGCAUGUUUUACUAUAGAUUUUAGACCUAGGAAGCCGCCAUUUUGGAAUGUCGCUGUGUCUGACGUCACAGGGUUGCCUCUGUAUUUGCACCAGCUCCACAUCUACAACAUUAUGCGUUGGGAUAAAUUAGGGUGUCCAGUCUCCGUGUUCAGUCCUUUACUUCCACUGUAUCUGUUCAGCUGAGUUAACAGAACCAACCUCAUGACGUCAGACACAGCGAUAUUCCAAGAUGGCGGCGCCCUAGGUCUAAAUUCUAUAGUAAAACAUGCCAUUUUCUGCUGAAUGGUUACAUUAAUAGAGUUUGUUUAAUAUAUUUUCUUUAAAGUGGAAAUCAAAUUACAAAAUGUAAACUUGACUGAGUGCUUCAUUUUCCCUUUAAAUGUCCAUGCUUAAUUGGUCAUUUAUAAGGUCUAUCGAUUAAAAGGGUUGCGGACAAAUUUUAACACCUAUAUAUAGGCCUAUGUAGGUAGAGCUGCAUGAUUCUAGCUAAAAUGAGAAUCAUG